rnacentral:rRNA from 1 species
UACGUAGGGUGCAAGCGUUAAUCGGAAUUACUGGGCGUAAAGCGUGCGCAGGCGGUUUUGUAAGUCUGACGUGAAAUCCCCGGGCUCAACCUGGGAAUUGCGUUGGAGACUGCAAGGCUAGAAUCUGGCAGAGGGGGGGUAGAAUUCCACGUGUAGCAGUGAAAUGCGUAGAGAUGUGGAGGAACACCGAUGGCGAAGGCAGCCCCCUGGGUCAAGAUUGACGCUCAUGCACGAAAGCGUGGGGGAGCAAACAGG